rnacentral:rRNA from 1 species
CCUACGGGAGGCAGCAGUGAGGAAUAUUGGUCAAUGGACGAGAGUCUGAACCAGCCAAGUAGCGUGAAGGAUGACUGCCCUAUGGGUUGUAAACUUCUUUUAUAUGGGAAUAAAAUGUUCCACGUGUGGGAUUUUGUAUGUACCAUAUGAAUAAGGAUCGGCUAACUCCGUGCCAGCAGCCGCGGUAAUACGGAGGAUCCGAGCGUUAUCCGGAUUUAUUGGGUUUAAAGGGAGCGUAGGUGGAUUGUUAAGUCAGUUGUGAAAGUUUGCGGCUCAACCGUGAAAUUGCAGUUGAGACUGGCAGGCUUGAGUACAGUAGAGGUAGGCGGAAUGCGUGGUGUAGCGGUGAAAUGCUUAGAUAUCACGAAGAACUCCGAUUGCGAAGGCAGCUCACUGGACUGCAACUGACACUGAGGCUCGAAAGUGUGGGUAUCAAACAGGAUUAGAUACCCUAGUAGUC